AGAGUUUGAUCCUGGCUCAGAAUCAACGCUGGCGGCAGGCCUCAAACAUGCAAGUCGAGCGCCCAGCAAUGGGAGCGGCGGACGGGUGCGUAACACGUGGGAACGUACCCUUUGGUUCGGAACAACGCAGGGAAACUUGCGCUAAUACUGGAUACGCCCGAAAGGGGAAAGAUUUAUCGCCAAAGGAUCGGCCCGCGUUC
rnacentral:rRNA from 1 species